rnacentral:lncRNA from 1 species
GACGACGACGGACGGUGUUUGUUGGAUCGGACCGUGCGUGCGGGCUUUGCGGACGGUAUGAGCCCACCACUUUGACCCCUCCCUCGUCGUGUGCAGGCACGGAAAUCCUAUCCAUCUUAAGUAAGGCGGACAAAGGUAACUUUCAUUAUUUAAGAUUCGUGCAACGAAUGAGGUCCGUCAGAUCUGCAUCAAAUCAAAACCCUAGCUCCACUCCUCUCUCCUCCCCUGCCUGCGGCGCCACCCCUGCGCGGUACUCGCCACCACCGCGCUGUCGCCGACCGGCGCCCUCCUAACGCCACCGCCGAAGCUGGGGAAGAAGGUUGAAAAAAUGUUGGAUCAACUUUUCUUUGAAAAAUGUUAAUGCAACUUUUUUCUUUUUCUAAAGAAACGUUUGGGUCAACUUUUUUUUAAUAAAUAUUGGUUCAAAUUUUUCAAAUAAAUGUUGGUUCAACUUUUUUUCAAGAAAUGUUGAUCCAACUUUUUUGAAAAAUGCUGGUCCAACUUUUUUAAAAAUGUUGAUAUUUUUUUUAAAAAAAAUAUUGACAACUUUUUUAAAAAAAUGUUGGUAAUAUU